GCUGGCGGCGUGCCUAAUACAUGCAAGUAGAACGCUGAAGAGAGGAGCUUGCUCUUCUUGGAUGAGUUGCGAACGGGUGAGUAACGCGUAGGUAACCUGCCUUGUAGCGGGGGAUAACUAUUGGAAACGAUAGCUAAUACCGCAUAACAAUGGAUGACACAUGUCAUUUAUUUGAAAGGGGCAAUUGCUCCACUACAAGAUGGACCUGCGUUGUAUUAGCUAGUAGGUGAGGUAAUGGCUCACCUAGGCGACGAUACAUAGCCGACCUGAGAGGGUGAUCGGCCACACUGGGACUGAGACACGGCCCAGACUCCUACGGGAGGCAGCAGUAGGGAAUCUUCGGCAAUGGGGGCAACCCUGACCGAGCAACGCCGCGUGAGUGAAGAAGGUUUUCGGAUCGUAAAGCUCUGUUGUAAGUCAAGAACGGGUGUGAGAGUGGAAAGUUCACACUGUGACGGUAGCUUACCAGAAAGGGACGGCUAACUACGUGCCAGCAGCCGCGGUAAUACGUAGGUCCCGAGCGUUGUCCGGAUUUAUUGGGCGUAAAGCGAGCGCAGGCGGUUUGAUAAGUCUGAAGUUAAAGGCUGUGGCUCAACCAUAGUUCGCUUUGGAAACUGUCAAACUUGAGUGCAGAAGGGGAGAGUGGAAUUCCAUGUGUAGCGGUGAAAUGCGUAGAUAUAUGGAGGAACACCGGUGGCGAAAGCGGCUCUCUGGUCUGUAACUGACGCUGAGGCUCGAAAGCGUGGGGAGCGAACAGGAUUAGAUACCCUGGUAGUCCACGCCGUAAACGAUGAGUGCUAGGUGUUGGAUCCUUUCCGGGAUUCAGUGCCGCAGCUAACGCAUUAAGCACUCCGCCUGGGGAGUACGACCGCAAGGUUGAAACUCAAAGGAAUUGACGGGGGCCCGCACAAGCGGUGGAGCAUGUGGUUUAAUUCGAAGCAACGCGAAGAACCUUACCAGGUCUUGACAUCCCGAUGCUAUUUCUAGAGAUAGAAAGUUACUUCGGUACAUCGGUGACAGGUGGUGCAUGGUUGUCGUCAGCUCGUGUCGUGAGAUGUUGGGUUAAGUCCCGCAACGAGCGCAACCCCUAUUGUUAGUUGCCAUCAUUCAGUUGGGCACUCUAGCGAGACUGCCGGUAAUAAACCGGAGGAAGGUGGGGAUGACGUCAAAUCAUCAUGCCCCUUAUGACCUGGGCUACACACGUGCUACAAUGGUUGGUACAACGAGUUGCGAGUCGGUGACGGCGAGCUAAUCUCUUAAAGCCAAUCUCAGUUCGGAUUGUAGGCUGCAACUCGCCUACAUGAAGUCGGAAUCGCUAGUAAUCGCGGAUCAGCACGCCGCGGUGAAUACGUUCCCGGGCCUUGUACACACCGCCCGUCACACCACGAGAGUUUGUAACACCCGAAGUCGGUGAGGUAACCUUUUGGAGCCAGCCGCCUAAGGUGGGACAGAUGAUUGGGGUGAAGU
rnacentral:rRNA from 1 species